AUUGAACGCUGGCGGCAGGCCUAACACAUGCAAGUCGAACGAGUGGCGGACGGGUGAGUAAUGUCUGGGAAACUGCCUGAUGGAGGGGGAUAACUACUGGAAACGGUAGCUAAUACCGCAUACCAUCGGAUGUGCCCAGAUGGGAUUAGCUAGUAGGUGGGGUAAAGGCUCACCUAGGCGCCGAUCCCUAGCUAGUCUGAGAGGAUGACCAGCCAGACUGGAACUGAGACCCGGUCCAGACUCCUACGGGAGGCAGCAGUGGGGAAUUUUGCACAAUGGGCGCAAGCCUGAUGCAGCCAUGCCGAGUGUAUGAAGACGGCCUUCGGUUUGUAAAGUACUUUCAGCGGGGAGGCGUUACCCGCAGAAGAAGCACCGGCUAACUCCGGGCCAGCAGCCGCGGUAAUUC
rnacentral:rRNA from 1 species